rnacentral:rRNA from 1 species
GACGAACGCUGGCGGCGUGCUUAGCACAUGCAAGUCGAACGGAAAGGCCCUGCUUUUGUGGGGUGCUCGAGUGGCGAACGGGUGAGUAACACGUGAGUAACCUGCCCUUGACUUUGGUAUAACUUCAGGAAACUGGGGCUAAUACCGGAUAGGAGCUCCUGCUGCAUGGUGGGGGUUGGAAAGUUUCGGCGGUUGGGGAUGGACUCGCGGCUUAUCAGCUUGUUGGUGGGGUAGUGGCUUACCAAGGCUUUGACGGGUAGCCGGCCUGAGAGGGUGACCGGCCACAUUGGGACUGAGAUACGGCCCAGACUCCUACGGGAGGCAGCAGUGGGGAAUAUUGCACAAUGGGCGGAAGCCUGAUGCAGCAACGCCGCGUGCGGGAUGACGGCCUUCGGGUUGUAAACCGCUUUCGCCUGUGACGAAGCGUGAGUGACGGUAAUGGGUAAAGAAGCACCGGCUAACUACGUG